GCAAGUCGAGCGCGCCCUUCGGGGUGAGCGGCGGACGGGUGAGUWACGCGUGGGAACGUGCCCUUUGCUGCGGAAUAGCCACUGGAAACGGUGAGUAAUACCGCAUGAGCCCUUCGGGGGAAAGAUUUAUCGGCAAGGGAUCGGCCCGCGUUGGAUUAGGUAGUUGGUGGGGUAAUGGCCUACCAAGCCGACGAUCCAUAGCUGGUUUCAGAGGAUGAUCAGCCACACUGGGACUGAGACACGGCCCAGACUCCUACGGGAGGCAGCAGUGGGGAAUCUUAGACAAUGGGCGCAAGCCUGAUCUAGCCAUGCCGCGUGAGUGACGAAGGCCCUAGGGUCGUAAAGCUCUUUCGCCUGUGAAGAUAAUGACGGUAGCAGGUAAAGAAACCCCGGCUAACUCCGUGCCAGCAGCCGCGGUAAUACGGAGGGGGUUAGCGUUGUUCGGAAUUACUGGGCGUAAAGCGCGCGUAGGCGGACCAUCAAGUUGGGGGUGAAAUCCCGGGGCUCAACCCCGGAACUGCCUCCAAAACUGGCGGUCUGGAGUUCGAGAGAGGUGAGUGGAAUUCCGAGUGUAGAGGUGAAAUUCGUAGAUAUUCGGAGGAACACCAGUGGCGAAGGCGGCUCACUGGCUCGAGACUGACGCUGAGGUGCGAAAGUGUGGGGAGCAAACAGGAUUAGAUACCCUGGUAGUCCACACCGUAAACGAUGAAUGCCAGUCGUCGGCAAGCAUGCUUGUCGGUGACACACCUAACGGAUUAAGCAUUCCGCCUGGGGAGUACGGCCGCAAGGUUACAACUCAAAUGAAUUGACGGAA
rnacentral:rRNA from 1 species